UCGGGAAUUUUGGGCAAUGGGCGAAAGCCUGACCCAGCAACGCCGCGUGAGGGAUGAAGUAUUUCGGUAUGUAAACCUCGAAAGAAUGGGAAGAAUAAAUAACGGUACCAUUUAUAAGCUCCGGCUAACUACGUGCCAGCAGCCGCGGUAAUACGUAGGGAGCAAGCGUUGUUCGGAUUUACUGGGCGUAAAGGGCGCGUAGGCGGCGCGGUAAGUCACUUGUGAAAUCUCUGAGCUUAACUCAGAACGGCCAAGUGAUACUGCUGUGCUAGAGUGCGGAAGAGGCAACCGGAAUUCUUGGUGUAGCGGUGAAAUGCGUAGAUAUCAAGAGGAACACCUGAGGCGAAGGCGGGUUGCUGGGCCGACACUGACGCUGAUGCGCGAAAGCCGGGGGAGCAAACG
rnacentral:rRNA from 1 species